rnacentral:rRNA from 1 species
GACGAACGCUGGCGGCGUGCUUAACACAUGCGAGUCGAACGGAAAGGCCCUGCUUUUGUGGGGUGCUCGAGUGGCGAACGGGUGAGUAACACGUGAGUAACCUGCCCUUGACUUUGGGAUAACUUCAGGAAACUGGGGCUAAUACCGGAUAGGAGCUCCUGCUGCAUGGUGGGGGUUGGAAAGUUUCGGCGGUUGGGGAUGGACUCGCGGCUUAUCAGCUUGUUGGUGGGGUAGUGGCUUACCAAGGCUUUGACGGGUAGCCGGCCUGAGAGGGUGACCGGCCACAAUGGGACUGAGAUACGGCGCAGACUCCUACGGGAGGCAGCAGUGGGGAAUAUUGCACAAUAGGCGGAGGCCUGAUGCAGCAACGCCGCGUGCGGGAUGACGGCCUUCGGGUUGUAAACCGCUUUCGCCUGUGACGAAGCGUGAGUGACGGUAAUGGGUAAAGAAGCACCGGCUAACUACGUG